rnacentral:rRNA from 1 species
CAGCAGCCACGGUAAUACGAAGGGUGCAGGCGUUAAUCGGAAUUACUGGGCGUAAAGCGUGCGUAGGCGGUUUGUUAAGUCUGUUGUGAAAGCCCCGGGCUCAACCUGGGAAUGGCAAUGGAUACUGGCGAGCUAGAGUGUGUCAGAGGAUGGUGGAAUUCCCGGUGUAGCGGUGAAAUGCGUAGAGAUCGGGAGGAACAUCAGUGGCGAAGGCGGCCAUCUGGGACAACACUGACGCUGAGGCACGAAAGCGUGGGGAGCAAACAGGAUUAGAUACCCCCGUAGUCCCUGUCUCUUAUAC